GGAGGGUCAAAGCUCAAUGGCAGAGCAUCUGCUCCGGACACAGGAGGUCUCGGGUUCCAUCCCUGGCAUCUCCA